CGUCCUCGUUCUAUCUUCUUCGUCCCUUCGUUGUCCUCCCGCGCCGCCGCGGCUGUCGCCGCCAUCACCGAUUUAGACUUCUAUCUGGCGCCUCUCCCUCUCCUGACUCCUGAGAGUGGAGGCGGUGCCCCAGUCUCCGCAAGCGAUGGAGAGACGGCGGCUGGCUGUUGAAGCGGGUAGCAGCGGGCGAGCGACGAUGACGGCGGACGAGCGAUGGCAAGGCGAAAUCGACUGUCAAGGCGUGGUAUUGACCCGGAAGAAUGGUAGAUCUUGGACGUUGUAAGAGCGAGUUUAUACUAAGACUAGCGGGGUGGGCACUUGGCUCUGCCAACCCAGUGGCGUUUCUAUCAUGGGUUUCAAGGGAAGGGGACUGAAACAAGUAUGAAGUAUCGUGCAGAAAAAUAAAGCAUUGAGGUGCCUGGUUUAGUUUGUACUCCCUCCGUUCGGAUUAAACUGACGCACAGUGGUGCUAAUUCUAGCAUGCAAGUAGUGUUGUCUCGCGUCAAUUAAAUGUGACCAGAGGUAGUAUGUGUGAGCUCCUGAUUCUAUGUUUGCAGUAACCUGUCUAAAGUCAGUGAAACCUGGGAUGUUUCGCACGAAGGUUAAGAAGGGAAUUUGCAUCAUAUUUCUGUUAGGGGUACUAAUACUACUACCUAAAAGUAAAACUUUAUGAUAUGCCUCUUUGUUUUCUAGGAAAAUAUGCUUCGUUGUUUUCCAGGAAGAAUGGCAUGCUGAAGAAGCUGUGGGAAACAAACAGACACAUUCUUUGCAAGUCCUCGGCACAGCCUAGCAAGGUGGAUUAAUCUUUUUCAUUGCAUGCUGUUUCUAGAGUUUAUUUACACUUGGUACAAUGCUUUUACCAGUUCAUGUGUAUCUCUUAUGUUUUUAUUUGAGAUGUCCAUCCUACACUCUAAAAAUUUCUUGUCAUACUUUCCAAAAUAAGUGCAAUUUGUAACAUAUAACUUGAAUUCAUAGGAAACAUCUAUAGGCCGUAGAAUUUUCAUAUAUUCUUGUAUUGUGUGUACGGUGAUAGUUAGAAAUGUUUCUUUCUACAAAUUUAUUUUGCCACUGUGUUGUCACUUGAUUAAUUCGCUAUUCUAGACAUUCUCGAUUUAUUUUGAACCGAAGAGUGUUGACCAUUUCCUGAGUGCCAACAUUCAGCUUAGAAAUGACAAGAGAAGCUCCGCAAGUAAUCUGAGGGAGCGGAUGAAAACAAAAGAACAAAACGUUAGUGAACAAUUGGUAUUUUUUUUACCUGGUGAAUGCUACAGCUCCAUCUGAUUCUGCCAUUCCCGCCAUUGGCAAUAAUGAAAUUGAUGGUAUUGCAGUGUCUUCAAAUAAUCACUGACGUGCUCUCUACGCUUCAGUAUUUGGAGUAUCGUUUUUUUAUUCCAUUUGUUUUUGAAGAAUGAUCUUAUCAUAGUAGAAUGGUCAUCUCGUGGUUGUGUGUAUGCUCUAAUUGUGGAAUGCAGUGAAUUCAGAAACAGAAGCAUAUGAGAAUGUGGAAACUGGCUUAUUGCAAGCAACGUGGAAAUGCCCCUAAAAUCACAAUGUCACCGGGCUGGACACGAUGAAAUAAUGACGAUGGAUCUGAGCCUUCUCCCUCCUAUAACUGCCGCUGGUACUGGAGGUGCUUUACGCUUUGCUUACCUUCGUUUCUCCAUAUAUAUUGCGGCUUGCCUUCUUUUGCUGCCUCUCCACUCCCCUUCUGUGAAAACCAUGGGCACAGCCGCUGCCUCUGAUCCCGUUGGCAAGAUGCAAGGCAGCGAUUUCCUCUACUUGCCGUGGAUCUUCAAGGGUGACCGCAAAUUGAUAGACAUGCUACGGGACCCCAACACGUCUGCGGCUGUUUGACGACUUGGUCGACCACCAGUGCCUCACUUCCUGUGGGCAUCGACCUUCGCCUCACCAUGAUGCUCGGCAACUACGACCAUGUCUCCUCCAAUCGUUUUGGUGGCUGAGAAAUGAACCAAUGCUGGUUAUGCAACAGAGGUGGCAGUCAGGUUUGACGUCAGAUGCAAUGCUACACAUGUUGUUGUUUGCACGCGCACAUAUGGAGAAGGCGGCACACUCCGAGGGCAGCUACCCCGAAACUGGCACGGGGCUCAAGCGCUGGUUCCACCCUUCACGGCGUGUCGAAACCAUCGUGUCCCUAGUUGUCAUCAUCAUGGUGGGGAUCGCAUUUGUGGUUGGGUGCUGCUGGUGCUACUGGGA